AACGAACGCUGGCGGCGUGGAUUAGGCAUGCAAGUCGAACGCGAAAGAGGGGGCAACUCCUCGAGUAGAGUGGCGAACGGGUGAGUAACGCGUGAGAAACCUGCCUUUGAGUGGGGGAUAACACUCCCAACGGGGUGCUAAUACCGCAUGCGACCUCGGAGCUGCAUGGCUCUGCGGUCAAAGGUGGCCUCUAUUUAUAAGCUACCGCUCAAAGAUGGUCUCGCGUCCCAUUAGCUAGUUGGCGGGGUAAUGGCCCACCAAGGCGACGAUGGGUAGCUGGUCUGAGAGGAUGGUCAGCCACACUGGGACUGAGAUACGGCCCAGACUCCUACGGGAGGCAGCAGUCGAGAGGCUUCGGCAAUGGGGGAAACCCUGACCGAGCGACGCCGCGUGCAGGAUGAAGGCCCUUGGGUGUAAACUGCUUUUGUUCGGAAGAAGUGCGAUCAGGUGAAUAAUCUGGUCGUUUGACGGUACCGGACGAAUAAGCUCCGGCUAACUCCG
rnacentral:rRNA from 1 species